rnacentral:rRNA from 1 species
AUGAGAUUCACCUUUCCUGAUGGGCAGUUUAGAUUUUUUACCCCGGGUUCCAUAGUCUGGACUCUGGGACUUAGAAAUUCUGGGUGCCGUGUGAGUAUGCUUAAGCUGUCGCCCAAGAUAAGGAAAGAGUACGGUGAAACUAUUAGGUGUACCAUAGGAAUAGAGUCCAGGAGGCAUGCCAGGGAUGGAGGGUUAAGCAUUCGUGCUGUUAAUGAAGCUAUUACUAUGAUGAAGUCGUUAAAUCUUGACAGCAGGCAGACCAGGGCCUUUGAGAUGGCAUUUUCCCUGCUGGCUGCUGGUACAUAUGUCGGCCCUAAGCAAUCGUACACUUCAAUACCAUGGGAAAUGUUGGCAUGUGUCCUUGAUGAGAAUGGCACUGGUGAGUACGACCUAGCAGAGUGGGUGUUUCUAAUUAUCAGAGCAGCUGCUAAGAAACUUCAGGAAGAUUUGGAUGCUGGCGUCAGGUCGCUCAUAGUUGGAGGCUGCCACUUGGCUCUUAUUCCAUGGUUCUUCAACUGGAUCGACUUUGGACAUCACAGUGUUGAACCCCAUACACUCCCGCGCAUCAGUGUUUACACAACCCAGAUAUGUAGGAGGUUGAACUACCUGACAAGGGAGUAUCCAAAUAUAUUCAGAACAAGGCCAUCAGAUUAUUUCAUUACGUUGGACGAGAUAUGGCAUGAUGUAGUUGGUGGGCCUGGAGGCAUCCUACAUCCAGCAGGGCCACGCAGCUUCAACAGGCUUAGGAGAAGACUCAUACUUAAAGGCAAUGACGAGGGGGGCACUGGGACAAGCAACCCCUUCGCACGACUACGAACAGCAGGAAGGGCGACGUGGAUGCGCAGCAAAGGUGAACAUUUGAGAGCAGAACUUGAUGAAAUUGAGGCACAAGCAAGAGCUGACCUGGAGUAUGGUAGGGAUCAUGGGAUAUUGAGGAACAGGAAUGCACCAGCUCUUGGAGCUGGCAUUGCGGGCUCGGAUGACAACGAGAGAGAGGAGCGUGUUCGCAGCUUAGCAGCGGCUGCCCUUGCUGUGGUAGAACAAGCCAUGCAAAAUCCUGAACUGUUUGGAGACAUAUUCGACCAGGCACCUGCGAUGAUAGCAAAACUAAGAGUUGAGAACUCCAGUGGAGCUCCAGCGCCUCUGGAAGUGGAAAAUGGACCUGGUGCAGCUCAUGGAAAUUCUGGUAAGGGCGUCAACGGGGGUGGGCUAGAGAAUGAUAUCCAAGAUGCAGCACUAGACGGACAAACUCAGCAACUUGGUGAUGGUUCAGGUGGUAGUGAUGACUGGAGUACAUCAUCUGAAGAUGUUUCGAGCUAUAGCAGUGAACGAAGCGUUGCUACAGCGUCCAGUGUAUCUGGUACCCAAAUCCUCAGUGACAAUGUAUUUGCAGGGAACCUCGAUUCUCUGUAUAGAGAGGAAGUUAUAGGGGAUGAAUUUCUGGACGUGGCCUCAAAAGUGUCGGUUGACUACAACGGAGAAGAUGAUGACGAAAUAGGCUUGGAUGCUGAUUUCUUAAAAGUGGCUACACAAGUGCCAACGGAUUACACAAAUGAGCAAACUACAGGAACUGUGGGGAAAAGUUUAGUUGACAUGGAUAACAUUAAUGCUUUACUUUCCACAAUAAACACAUGCAUUCGUUGGAUUGCAUGGAUACGAGCGAUGAUGGUCGUGCGGAGCGGGCGUCCAGGAGACGAUGAUGACGAGGACCCACCUUGCAACGGUCCCAUCUUGUUGGGCUGGCAUGGUGAAGAACAAGUGGAGACAGGGGGAUCUGCCAGAGAAGAGGCUCUAUUACGUAGACAACAGCAGUCCCGACCUCGGGCCCUGGAUGUGCAGAGAAACUGCCGACCUGGUCCGUCCUUCCGCCGCGACAACGAAGGUACUUGCUAG